rnacentral:rRNA from 1 species
GGCGCGCCUAACACAUGCAAGUCCCUCGAGAGAGAAGGAGCUUGCUUCUUCGAUCGAGUGGCGAACGGGUGAGUAACGCGUGAGGAACCUGCCUCAAAGAUGGGGACAACAGUUGGAAACGACUGCUAAUACCGCAUAAGCCCACGGGUCGGCAUCGACCUGAGGGAAAAGGAGUGAUCCGCUUUGAGAUGGCCUCGCGUCCGAUUAGCUAGUUGGUGAGGUAAUGGCCCACCAAGGCGACGAUCGGUAGCCGGACUGAGAGGUUGAACGGCCACAUUGGGACUGAGACACGGCCCAGACUCCUACGGGAGGCAGCAGUGGGGAAUAUUGCACAAUGGGGGAAACCCUGAUGCAGCGACGCCGCGUGGAGGAAGAAGGUCUUCGGAUUGUAAACUCCUGUUGUUGAGGAAGAUAAUGACGGUACUCAACAAGGAAGUGACGGCUAACUACGUGCCAGCAGCCGCGGUAAAACGUAGGUCACAAGCGUUGUCCGGAAUUACUGGGUGUAAAGGGAGCGCAGGCGGGAAGACAAGUUGGAAGUGAAAUCUAUGGGCUCAACCCAUAAACUGCUUUCAAAACUGUUUUUCUUGAGUAGUGCAGAGGUAGGCGGAAUUCCCGGUGUAGCGGUGGAAUGCGUAGAUAUCGGGAGGAACACCAGUGGCGAAGGCGGCCUACUGGGCACCAACUGACGCUGAGGCUCGAAAGUGUGGGUAGCAAACAGGAU